GAUGAACGCUAGCGGCAGGCCUAACACAUGCAAGUCGAGGGGCAGCAUAAAAUAAACUUGUUUAUUUGGUGGCGACCGGCGCACGGGUGCGUAACGCGUAUGCAACCUACCUUACACAGGGGGAUAGCCCGGAGAAAUUCGGAUUAAUACCCCAUAGCACUAUCGGAUGGCAUCAUUUGAUAUUUAAAGCUUUGGCGGUGUAAGAUGGGCAUGCGUCCUAUUAGCUAGUUGGUGAGGUAACGGCUCACCAAGGCUACGAUAGGUAGGGGGCCUGAGAGGGUGGUCCCCACACUGGUACUGAGACACGGACCAGACUCCUACGGGAGGCAGCAGUGAGGAAUAUUGGUCAAUGGGCGCAAGCCUGAACCAGCCAUGCCGCGCGAAGGAUGAAGGUUCUAUGGAUUGUAAACUUCUUUUAUUUGGGAAUAAACCCCUUUACGUGUAGAGGGCUGAAGGUACCAAAUGAAUAAGCACCGGCUAACUCCGUGCCAGCCGCCGCGGUAACAC
rnacentral:rRNA from 1 species